UUCUUUUUCUGAUGGAAGCUUAUUUAUUUCCAUUAAAUGAAUUCCAUUGAUGUCAUAUUCCAUUCAUGUCAAGGGUAUUGGCCUUUCUCUCUCUCUUCUCUCUCUCUCUCUCUCUCCCUCUCUCUCUCUCUCUCUCUCUCUCUCUCUCUCUGUCUAUGAGAAUGGUUGUUUCUAGUGUUGUAGGGGAAACUGAGCCAACAGUAACCAGGAGCUCAGGAGAAGAAAGGAAAUUUAGUGAUCUCCAGGGGAGUCAUCCUCAAAGUCUGAGGGGGUGAUUGCAUAGAGCUUGUCUUUUCUAUAGAGUGGCAAACACACGUUGCAGGGGACAGUUGCAAGCUUUUAGCUGAAGGUUGUGGUACAAUGGCUAUCUUGUGGUGAACAUAGUUGUGUGUAGCAAAGUUCUCACCACGUUCCCAGGGCUUUCAGUUGAUGAAAUCAUAUGAUUUAGCUGAGUUCCGUGGCUGAGAACAGAAUGGCUUUACCUUGGCUUAACAAAGUGUCUACAGUUUGAUCAGGCUUUCUGCUUUCAUGGUAGGUGUUUUCCAUGAUCCUUCCUUUAAGUGGGUUGUUGCAGGGCUGGAUAUUGCCCUUUCCCUUGACGAUUGGUCAGAUGGUCUCAAUUUUCUAUAUGUACUAUUGCUUAGUUUUGGAUAGUGCCCUGGACAGUUUGCUGGUUGAUUUAGGAGACUCUGGUUCCUAUUAAAAUCCUCAGGCAAGCAAUGGUUUCUCUUGUUCUGUUGUUCUGCAAAGCUGUCAAGGCAGCAGGGUCAGACUGCAUCCUGCAUUUGCUUUGCAGGGUCCAGGUUGUGCUCAGGCCACAGUGCCCCACCCCCAGCCCCGGUGGUCUACUGGAUGCCUGGUGGUUGAUAGCUCAGUCGCUUCCCAAAGCCUUUGCCUUGCUUCUUUGGAACUAUUCUGUGCAAGCCGCUCACUGUGAGUCUAGACCUUGUGCUGGCUCUUACACAGACUUCAGUGAUUUAUUUCUGCAGCUCUCUCCUCUUUAAAAUGCCAUUUACAUUUUCCUGCCACAAGAAGAGAACUUCCCCAGGGCAGGUCAACCCUCAGGCCAUCAGCAACAGCAAUAGAGUACAAACAUAGUGGCAAUUUCCCUCAUUCUCUUCAUACAGCAGAAGUCACUGCCUGUUCCUUUGUGGGCACAGGUCAUUUGUUGGGGCUUUAGGUCCCUCUGCCUCUCUUGAGACUGCUGGACAACUUUGUAACCGUGUUGCUGUGAACAUGGGAGCGCAGAUGGUUUCACUCCUGGUUUCUGUUGUUUUGCAGAAGAACCCAGAAAGGUGUUUCAUUCCUUGACUUAAAGAAACUGAACAGUAGAAGAAAGAACACUGGGUGGCAGAUGGGGCCACAAUGAAGUACAGGAGGAGGUGUCCCUGCGAAGUCAGCAUCAGCCCCAGAUCACCCUACGGGCCGCUCUUGAAAGAAUGAACUCUAAGACACAAGAAAGGUGAUGUGAAACAUUGUCUGACAAUCAGUGAAAACAGUGGUGUGGAUUCUUGGAAUUAAAACAUGCUUCAGAAAGUAAGCUUAUAAUACUACAAACCGAGAAUAAAAAACCUGAGGAAGGAGCUGGACAGUAUGGAAAAUUCAGACAAGAUAAACACCAUGCAACAAAGCCUACAGAAAGAGAUGAAGCUUGCUACAGUUACUCAACAUGUGUUCUAGAGCAUCAUUUUGGGGUGUAAAGUCAACUGGGCAGCAGAUCCAGCACUCAGGGAAACUGUUCUGCAGCUUGAAAAGGCUCUCACCACAGUCUAACAAGAAUUCCACUGGGCCAGGUGUCGCCAUGUGUGCCUUUGAUCUCAGCACUCAGGAGGCUGAAACAAGAGGAUUGCCACAUGCUGAAGACCAGCAAAGAUUUGCACCUUGAAGUUUUUGGAUUUUUGUCUCUGAUAUGUCAUUUAAAUAGCAAGUUUCAAGUGAAAUGAAUUUGCGAUGUUUGGGGAACUCUCCUAAUCUGUAAUUGCUUUUUAGCUUCAGUUAACACUCUAACAUAGAAUCAGUGAUUUUAAAUAACACUAAAGUGACUGUGUACUCUUAAAAGGGGAAUGUCUUAGUCAUAGAAAAGACACCUGGUCUGAUAUCUGAGGAGCAGUUUUGGACAUUCACAAGGUCCCAGCAUUUAACUGUAAUACUUGUGUGCAUUUCUGCAUUUGUCAGUCAGGAUGCAGAGAAGUCUCCAGAGUGUCAGCAGCUGGUGUAAUUCGUAGUGGGGUUCUGAGUAACUGUCUUCUGUUCUCCCUGUGUCUGUUUCUCCUCUCACACAUACUUCUGCUCACACACAUACAUAAUGCUGGCUACACCCUGACAAUGCUGAUGUACAGUGACAUCCAUGCCCAUUCUCAGUUCUGUUUGGACAAAAACUCUUGCCAACUUACCAAGGCUGGCUUCAGACUUGCAACCCUCCUGAACAACUGAGAUUACAAGCAUGUACUGCCAUGUCCAGUACAGCUCUUUAUUAAUUAGGAGCCAUUGAUCAUAUUUAUGGACAGCGUUGUGUUUUCAGUAUUCUUAUUGGAAUAAAGUGAAACUUGAAAAGAUGCGCUCAUUGGAUAAUAGCUCGUGAAAUCUGUUCUUUAGAUUAAUAACAAAGAGAGAUUUCCCUAAGCUCAAAUAGUAGGCUUUUCUUUGAAAUAUUUAUACCUUGUUUUCUUUGAUCAGUCAUAAUGUAUGUAUAGAUUUAUUCUUUUUGUCAGUUAUUGUUUUGAGGUAGAGUCUCACUGUGUCCUUCAGGGCAUUCUUGAACUCACUAGUAGCCCAGGCUGUCCUAGAACUUCCUGCAGUCCUCCUGCCUCAGCCUCCUGAGUAGUAAGGUUACAGGCAUGCACCACCACACCUGAUCUGUUGUUAUCUAUAUCAAUUGUUAUAAAGUAAUUUCCUUUUUUUGUGCAAAUUAUUAUUUUGGAAAAUGCUUUUCCAUUCCAGUAAUCCACACAGGAACUUUUGUUUGUUGUAGUACUGGGCAUUGAACCCAGGGCUAUUGUGCUAAGCUCUCUUGAGCCCUAUAUUUGUUUUUUUAAUUUGUUAUUUUGAGAUAGGAUCUCAUCAAGGUGCUGAGUUGCCCAGGCUGGGCUGAAACUUGAUCCUCCUGCCUCAGCCCCCUAGAAAACUGGCAUUCUAGCAGUGUACUACCACAGUCACUUGACACUGUAUUAGUAAAUUUCAACCUGUGGACCACCUGAAAAAGUGUAUCUUCAUAUACUAAAACAGGUAUAUGUUUAUCUGCGACCUUAGUGGUCUUUGACUUACCUGUUACCCAGCUCUGAGAGAGGAAGUGCGUAGGCUUUGCCUGAACUGUUGCUGAAUACGGAACUCACAGCUCACUGUUUUAGGACAUUUACUUCUGUGUGGGUUUGGGGUUCAGCCGCCCACUCUAGGACUCCAUUUGAGGGAGCAGCCACUCAGCAGAAGGCAGGGGCUCCUUAGAUCAAGUCAAGUGCAUUCCACAAUCAGAAUGUAAUCUUCUGCUUGGGAAAGGCAGCCAUGGCCCCAACCCCACAUCACAGUGGCCUUGGGUUUUGUCCCAGCUAACGAAUGCUGCAUUUCAGAGUCAGGAAAAGGAAAUGGGAAUUUACUACAAAGGACAUGAUCUACCUUAGUCAGCUUUGCUCCAUGAAAUAGACACCCAAGACUAGGGAGGUGCAGGCAGUCCUAGUGACUUGGGAGGCUGGGGCAGAACUGCUUCAGCCAUCAAGAUCAAUCCAGCCUGGGAUACACUUGAGACCUAAUGUCUGGCUUAUAUCCACAUCCACAAAGACACUCCUCUCCAGGAAGUAAGCCAACAGCGCAGCCUCUCCUGGUGGUAUUUCAAGCUUUAAGAGCUCUCUCUCUCUCUCUUGCUCUCAUUCUUGCUCUUUGUCUCUCUCUCUCUAUCUCUCUCUCCCUCCCUAAUCCUGUUGCAGGGGGUCUCCUUAUGUAACUGGCCUAGAACUCACCGGGAUCCUCAUGCCUCCGCCUCCCAAGUGCUGGAGUUACAGGUGUGCUUCACCACACUCAGAUUGUCUUGUUCUUCAGUUGUUUUCUCAUCAGUAUCAGGGACUGAUAACCUGGCUCACAGGCUGUUUUAAUAUAUGAAGUUUUACCACCACGAGGCCGUGCCACUAUGUUCACAUGUUAACUGUGCUUGCUUUCUUGCCAUGAUAAAAUAGUGUAAUCGAAUGAAGUAGCUUAAUAGUGACCCUGAGGCGGCUGCACUGCGCUUUUCCAUAGGAUGAGGUGUUGUGAAAGACAGGUUACCGAGCCCCGUGGUAGUUGGCUUCUGUUUGAGGGAUGGCAAAGAAAUACCAGCAUGGCCCUCUCUCAAGGGCUCAGGGGCUUUGCAUGGGAUUUGAAGAGGAGAUUGUUGCUACCUUGAGUCAGGGUGGCUUUGUGAACUGUGACUGUCAUGCUGUUGGGCCCACGUGUGUUUAUCUGCUCCUCUUACUGUCAUAGGACCCGUGGACCUUGGUGGUACCAUGGGGUGGCAGUUCUGCCUCCCUCAUUUUUGCCUUGACAAGGGCCCAGGCAUCCUGGGGCUGGACCUAGUAAUCCUCAGGUUUUCCCUCACAAUGGAUUAAAAAAUCUAGUUGUGCUGUAGAAUGUUUAUUCUGAAUUACCCAAAUUCUUAAUUGUUUAUGCGAUUCAUUUUACUACUGAGUUACUGCACCCUACAUGUUAGAUCCAAGUAUUUUAUUAAAAUAUUUUUUAUCAGGAAACCUCAGCCUGGACUAGAUACCUCCUGUUCCAUCACCCACUGUGCUCUGGCCUGGCUUCCAGCCAGCACUGGGGAUGGGGUCACUGGCCAAGCAGAGGAAGGGUGAGGCCAAGGAAGGUCGUGGCACACCGGGCACACAGGCCGAGUGUGGGUGGAGGAAUGGAACAGGCGGGUGCGUGCACUAGGCUCUAGUCGGUCCUGGUGUGUGCUCUGCCACCCAGGGAGCAGUGGGUAUGGAUGGCGCAUCCCAUGCCUUGUAAGCAGACACAGUGAAGAUGAGGACGGACAGACUGAGCACUGAUGGUGAAUCAUUGAGUGACCUGAUAGCAGUCUCUGGGCAGACUCUACCUGUGGGAAGUGAAGAUAGAAUUUCUGCUUUUGCUUCAGAAGCAUUUACCAUCCUCAUGCUGUGGAAAAGUGAUCUGCAAGGAGCCUGCAUUGGGAAUUCCAUGAAGCAGAGUCAGUGCCAGUGCUCUCUUGGCAGGAUCCCUGAAACGGUCCAUUCGGAUGUGAUCGGGAAUUUGUGUUGCACUGAACACUUUCUUAUGCCUCCUGUGUGACUGCGUUUUGCUUAGUUUAUAUUUUUAUUGGUGUGUGAUCAUGGUACGUAAUGAUUAUAUUCAUCGGAGAUAGUUGGUGGAUAUGCAUGAUAGACUUUUCCUCGAUGUGGUAGAAAAACAAGAGUAAAGAAAGCAAAGAACAAAAAGGCCUUUAUUGCUGGCAUGGGAGGGCUGCAGUGGGGUGCAAGAUCCCUUCAGGGCAGGCAAAGAAACCUGGAGCCUUUUGUUCAGUUUGAGAGGGGUGGAGUUCGAUGGGGUGGGCAGAGUGACAUUUUGACAGUUGUUUGAGGGAUUGUUGAUGUGUGCACAAGUGGGAAGUUCACUUUUUGGGUUUGCAAGAAGAACGUGGAAGUCAGUUUUGAAGUGAGGUACGGUCCAGUGCCAUGUUGGGCAGGCACCAUGCUGAGCCUGGCACUGCUCCACAGGAGCGGAAUCCAUUAUUCCCAUCUUUUGGGUGUUAGAGGCAGCCACUCUUAAACUGCUUCCUGCUGACUGGGGUGACAUGAUGGGCAUUGAAGUAGUCAUUGUGAUGACAGUUUGGACCCGUGUAGAAUCUGGUACCAGGGGUUUCCUCAGGACAAGGAAUCACCUUGUUAUAAAGGCCCACAACCUGGAUUGAAGAAAUCUUGAGAAAAGUUUAAACAGACAAGGAGCUAUAAUCAAAAAAUAACAAGUAAUAUAAGUGGUCCUUCCAGGGGAAGAAGCUAGGAGGAAAGUGUUCCCUUUUCUAUAAGAACAGCAGUCAGAUUUUUUUGCAGAUAUUAUCGUAAUAUAUUUUUAAUCGCCCAUAACAGUUGUUAAAUACUGGGAUAAUUGGAAACUGCCUGAAGAGGUUAUACUUGGAGCCCUUUUUAUAUUUAACUUAUACACAUUUUUAUAUCCUUUGAUUAUAUUUUAUACUGGAUGUUUAAGACCAAGUUAAAUUGAGACCUGUGUUAAUUAAAAGUAACCUCUUGCUAUCUGUCAAGGUCAGGUAAGUCUCCUCAGGAUUUGUCUUGGAACCAUGUGUGGAGCCUCUCAGUUCUUGACAGUGUCAGCCAUCAGGAUGGUCAAGCAAUGAGCCAUUGCUUGACCAAUUUUGUUUCUGUGAAAACUUGGGGGAAUUUUCUCCUGGUGACUCUCCUUAGGCACACUAUAUAUUGUGUCACACUUGUUUGUAGUCCCAUAAUCUCCUUGAUCACAAGACCCAUGGAGAUAAGGAAUGUCAUUGCAGAGGUUCUCAUAUCCUGGAUCUUCAGUGACCUCAGAGGGCCGCAAACAAAAUAAUGGUUGUCCUCCCAGCCCAUUCAUCUUUUUAAUUUUUGGUCUCCAAAUAUCUAUUGUUGAACAUCCAGAAGUAAGGAUUGGUAAUAUUAUAGUGUAACAAGGCAGCAUGUUUAGCAUUAUUACCUUACCUGAAUAUCAAGCAGCUUGAACAUAAAAUAGCAACCAAUAUUUCUAUCAAUCAUCCAUGUCCUAAUACUUAAACCCAUGGAAAAUGUUAACAGUUACAUACUUUUCACAGAAAAUCUAAAAUCAAAACUAUACAUAAUAUUGUGGCAUGACAAUUAUGACACUUUGUGUCAAUCUGAAUUUGACCUAAGAUACCCCUUUUAGUGGAUCAUCACUAUCUAGUACAUAAGCUUUACCUGACUGGUUUAUCUUUAGUGGGAUGAGCAUGUAGUAAGUUUGUGUUACAGGCAGAGGUCUGAAUCUGAAACAAUUUUGUUAAACAAUCUCUGUUUUACAUUUUUGGAAGGAAGACCUGUACAUGUGGAAGCAUGAAUACAUUAAUACACCAUAAGGUUAAUAACAAACUAUCCUUUCAUGUGAAACCGUUGUAUCAGAGCAUAUUUAAAUAAAAAAAAUUAUUGUAUGA